rnacentral:pre_miRNA from 1 species
CUUUGAGUCGUCUGAUGAUCUUGUUAAAAUACAGAUUUUGAUUCAGCAGGUCUGGGCUGGGGUGUUGGGGUGUUGGUUUCUGAAUGUCUAACAAGCCUCUAAGUGACGCUGAU